GUCUACAGCCAUACCACCCUGAACGCGCCUGAUCUCGUCUGAUCUCGGAAGCUAAGCAGGGUCGGGCCUGGUUAGUACUUGAAUGGGAGAAGAAAUCCUAGAAGAAAUUCUUCUUGGUUGUCUGCAGCUAUAGGCA
ensembl:rRNA 5S_rRNA 5S ribosomal RNA